GAAGCCAGGGUGACCAUCUCCACCUCCUCUGAGCCCUUGGCUUCACCUCAGCCUCCUGUGGAGCACCAGCACCCCAGAUUCUGUUUGGCUGAGCUCUUCUCUCCCUGCCGCUCAUCAUGCUUAAAGUCAUGUGGGAUCUUAGCUUCCCAACUGGAGUCAAACCCAGAGCUCCUGCAUUGGAAGGCAAAAUCUUCACCACUGGGCCACCAGGGACAUUCCCCAGACUUACUCAUCCUAUAACUGGACGUCUGUACCUUUUGACCAACACCUCCACAACUCCCUUACUGCCCAGCCCCAGAGUUUCUCUGAGUUCAGCGUUUUUGGAUUCCACAUGGUGUCAGACCCCAAACCAGGUCCUGGAAAGAGACGAACAUGUAAAACCAGCCUCUGCCUUUGAGAAGUUCUGACUGGAGAUCAGAGCAGCAAGUGGAUGUGACCAUGCGAUGUGAGAAGACUGGCAUGUGACCCCACACGCAGAUAAGCAAGCAAUAAAAUAAAUCCAUCUUUAAACUGUGUCCCUGUGGCAACUGAAUCUAAGAACAAAGAAAUAUGUUGAAAUACACACAUGUUUUCAAGUUUAGAAUUAUUUCGACAACAUCAUCAAAAUUUCAACAGGCAGCUCUCUGAAAACUAGACGCUUUAUAAGGUGAGGCUAUAUAUAAACUUCAUAUUAAUAACAACAGUAAUAGUACCAUUCAGUAUUUUUACUUUUUUUCUAUUUAAAGAACAUUCCUC